rfam:Gossypium hirsutum cultivar TM-1 chromosome 5, whole genome shotgun sequence
UUUUUAAAAAUUCGUCUAUUUUUACUAUUAAAAACUUGUCACUAUAUGUCAACAUGAGGUGUACAUGACAUGCCAUGUGUCACUAUCUAGUUAUUUCAUCAACCAUGUAAAUUUUUAAUAGUAAAAAUUGAUAAAUUUUUAACA